UACGGGGGGGAGCAAGCGUUGUUCGGAUUUACUGGGCGUAAAGGGCGCGUAGGCGGCCAGCACAAGUCAGUUGUGAAAUCUCCGGGCUUAACUCGGAAAGGUCAACUGAUACUGUGCGGCUAGAGUGCAGAAGGGGCAACUGGAAUUCUCGGUGUAGCGGUGAAAUGCGUAGAUAUCGAGAGGAACACCUGCGGCGAAGGCGGGUUGCUGGGCUGACACUGACGCUGAUGCGCGAAGGCGUGGGGAGCGAACGGGG
rnacentral:rRNA from 1 species